GAUGAACGCUGGCGGCGUGCCUAAUACAUGCAAGUCGAGCGACCAGACGAGGAGCUUGCUCCUCUGACGUUAGCGGCGGACGGGUGAGUAACACGUGGAUAACCUACCUAUAAGACUGGGAUAACUUCGGGAAACCGGAGCUAAUACCGGAUAAUAUAUUGAACCGCAUGGUUCAAUAGUGAAAGACGGUUUUGCUGUCACUUAUAGAUGGAUCCGCGCCGCAUUAGCUAGUUGGUAAGGUAACGGCUUACCAAGGCAACGAUGCGUAGCCGACCUGAGAGGGUGAUCGGCCACACUGGAACUGAGACACGGUCCAGACUCCUACGGGAGGCAGCAGUAGGGAAUCUUCCGCAAUGGGCGAAAGCCUGACGGAGCAACGCCGCGUGAGUGAUGAAGGUCUUCGGAUCGUAAAACUCUGUUAUUAGGGAAGAACAAAUGUGUAAGUAACUAUGCACGUCUUGACGGUACCUAAUCAGAAAGCAACGGCUAACUACGUG
rnacentral:rRNA from 1 species